rnacentral:rRNA from 1 species
CAAUGGGCGAAGCCUGAUGCAGCGACGCCGCGUGAGUGAAGAAGUAUUUCGGUAUGUAAANCUCUAUCAGCAGGGAAGAAAAUGACGGUACCUGACUAAGAAGCCCCGGCUAACUACGUGCCAGCAGCCGCGGUAAUACGUAGGGGGCAAGCGUUAUCCGGAUUUACUGGGUGUAAAGGGAGCGUAGACGGUGUGGCAAGUCUGAUGUGAAAGGCAUGGGCUCAACCUGUGGACUGCAUUGGAAACUGUCAUACUUGAGUGCCGGAGGGGUAAGCGGAAUUCCUAGUGUAGCGGUGAAAUGCGUAGANAUGGGGAGGAACACCAGUGGCGAAGGCGGCCUGCUGGNCUUUAACUGACGCUGAGGCNCGAAAGCGUGGGUAGCAAACAGGAUUAGAUACCCUGGUAGUCCAAGGGCGAAUUC